GUACUGCUGAAGAGUCCUACAAUAGGACAAAACGGCCGUCCAAUGC
rnacentral:hammerhead_ribozyme from 1 species